GGAAAGGCUUUCUCCCCAUCUCUUGGCACCAUCAGUUCUUCCCCACCUUCCUUCUUGUUGAAAGCAGUGAACAACUGAAUGGAAGAUCCCCCAGUUAUCUCACAUUCAAAUUGCCAUAUUAUCUCCUAUAAGUUCAUCUCUCCCAUGUGUACAGGACUAUUCAAACCCUAAUCUCUCCCCAUUAGCUAUGUGGGUGGGGUGGAGGAAUAACAUGGCUAGAUUAUUUAUUACCCUGUUCAAUUUUUUUAAUACUAACCUAUUUUUAAGUACAAUAAAAAUAUCCACUUAUGUAAUAAAGAUUUAGCAAUUAUCUCAAAUUAAGGAGAUUAUUGACAAAAGAUGUCUUUUACAGUAAAUACCCUCUGUCAAUUGGAAUUUCAAAGCUUUGUAUGUGGAAAUGCCUUUUAUAAACUAUACAGUUAUUUUAAAAACCGCCAAUAAUGACUAAUGCAUGAUGUGAAUGUUUAGAGGAGAGAGGGAAAGCUGAGGUUGAUAACCCCAAAUGUUUCUAACCAGCUCUGUGACUAUUGUUUCAUAGCCUUGGUGUUGGGCUUUUACAUAUGUGGAAUGUUCCAGAAUACAGAAGCAUUCAAAAUGGGGAAAAAAACAACUGAGGAGAAUUUUUUAAAAGGGAGGAGGGAAACCCUCUCUAUGCCUCUCCUAAACCAUUGUAUUUCGCCAUUAUGUCAGUUAACAACUACACUAGAAACAAGCAGCAGAUUUUUUUCCACUCUAAACCCAGGACAGCAACUGCAAUGAGAAAAGUCAUUUUCGUGAAAUGUGGAACCAGAGGACAGGGUCAAGAGAUUUUGCUUGCCUAGAAGAACAUCCAAGGAUGUCCAAAGAUAGGACCAUCCCUCCCCACUUUUCUCCUUUAGACCAGAGUGCAGCACAGUAGGAGCACAGAUGCACUACUGGUGCCUACAAAUCGAUAGCUCCAGAUUAUCAAACAACAAACAAGCAGAGUCACAGCAGAAGGUGGCUACAACCUACACAGGCACUGCCAUUUUUGCAAUGGAAAUUAACAAAGACUAAAGCAAGAUGUGGAAAGAGAUACAAGCCAAAGUGGAAACAAGCAUGAAUGCUGACUGCCAUCUGGCACAGAUGUCAUUUACUGCUGUUCAUGAUUCAAGCAUUGAGCGAUCCUCUCUAAGGACCUUGGCUUCACAUUUAUUCCGACCACAAAGCGUAUCUCUGAUAUAGUGUGGGGCUUCCCCCUGCCAAAAAAAGGUAUAUCCCCAAAUAUAUGACUCCAUUCUCCUUUCUCUAUAUAUUCUCCUGCUCCUCCUCCCUUCAUAUAGCUUUUAUGAAGACCCAUUUUAUAGCAGUGAAUUCUAGCAUGCAAUAAAGUCAUAAAGGCUGAUAUUUCAGCAGUGUAAUACCUGCAAUUAUAUCAGUUCCUGUAUUUUUCAGUGGAGUAAGAAACGCUGUUUUAGCAAACACAUGCACAAAAACACAGAUUUGAAGUAGUUGCAGGACAUUUCCACAAGCGACACAUAGGGCAUUUGAUGGGGGAUCUUUCUGAUUUCACACGACUAUGACACACCAACAGAAUGUUCUAACAGGGGUCUAUUCGUCCAGUUCAAUGCUAGAAAUGGAGGAUAGUUUUCGGGGUUAUUUGUAUUGAUCCCACUCAAGUCUCAUCCUUUCCUUGUGCCAAUUUUAUACAUCCUAACAGCUGGUUUGCAAGGAAGUUUGUGAACCUGCCUCUGCAUGUACAAAAGUCUCCAACUGACUAUUACAGCUACCAAUAGGCGCUACAGCUAGCCAGAAGGCCCCAUACUAAGCCUCUCAAUAGCACUGCCCUUGCCAACACCCAUCAUCUAAGGAGGGUGGCACAAUCUCAACCUCUUAAGUAUGGGGCUUCAAGCAGCAGAGAAGAGAAACAAGAGCACUGUAGCAAAGACACAGAAUACUUCAGCUGGCUGUAAUAAGUAGUAACAGCUGGCUGAAGGCUACCCUACACCAAGGAACUGGUUCAAAUGAGUUUCCAGUGCAAACUGGUCCUAAGCUACAAUUUUAAUAUCUGUCACCACUCCUUCUAAUAGCAAAUGCAGGUACUGAGUGCCAACA